UACAGACCUGAUCAGUUCCGUUACAGGGACGCAGCACUUGUCCUUGGGGUGGUGGCACAUUGCGGGGAAAUAGUUCCUGAAUAGUGCAUUUCAAUCAUGUGUGGUAUCGUAUGGCAGAGUUUGCCCGAGACGAUCCACAGCGCAUACACUGUGAGAGACUUCUAGCCUCUUAAAUGGUCAUCAAGAUAACAUGAUGUUCCCAAAAAUGCUGCUCAGUCACUGUUUGGAUUUCUUUCAGAAGGAUGUAGAGCAAAAGCAGGAGCAGAAGUGAAUGAAGGGAAGGAAAGUGGUCACUUCAUCAGUAACAUCGUAAUAUCUGUGAACUGUUCAAGAGGAAAGAGUUCCUGAAGCAGGCUGUGCACAACUGCAUCUCCAAACUGCUGAAAAGUCCAUGUUCCUGCCUCCUAAUGUAGAACAUCAGCAAGGAGCUGGAUGUGGAUGCG